rnacentral:rRNA from 1 species
UAAUACGUAGGGUGCAAGCGUUGUCCGGAAUCAUUGGGCGUAAAGCGCGCGUAGGCGGCCCGAUAAGUCCGCUGUAAAAGUCAACGGCUCAACUGUUGAAAGCCGGUGGAUACUGUCGGGCUAGAGUACGGAAGAGGCAAGUGGAAUUCCUGGUGUAGCGGUGGAAUGCGCAGAUAUCAGGAGGAACACCUAUAGCGAAGGCAGCUUGCUGGGACGUUACUGACGCUAAGGCGCGAAAGCGUGGGGAGCGAACAGGAUUAGAUACCCUGGUAGUCCACGCCGUAAACGAUGAGAACUAGGUGUGGGAGGUGUCGACUCCUCCCGUGCCGUCGCUAACGCAUUAAGUUCUCCGCCUGGGGAGUACGGCCGCAAGGCUAAAACUUAAAUGAAUUGACGG